rnacentral:rRNA from 1 species
CAGCAGCCACGGUAAUACGUAGGUGGCAAGCGUUGUCCGGAAUUAUUGGGCGUAAAGGGCUCGCAGGCGGUUUCUUAAGUCUGAUGUGAAAGCCCCCGGCUCAACCGGGGAGGGUUAUUGGAAACUGGGAAACUUGAGUGCAGAAGAGGAGAGUGGAAUUCCACGUGUAGCGGUGAAAUGCGUAGAGAUGUGGAGGAACACCAGUGGCGAAGGCGACUCUCUGGUCUGUAACUGACGCUGAGGAGCGAAAGCGUGGGGAGCGAACAGGAUUAGAUACCCGUGUAGUCCCUGUCUCUUAUAU